AUGGAGCCCGUGUUCUUCUCACUGGAGGAGGCGAUGCGCGAGCCCGACCCUAACCCCUGCCGGACCUCGUCGCCGCCGCUGGAGGCACACGUGCUCGCCGGAGGACUCGGAGGAGUGGGCGCCGGCAAGGUCGUCGGCGGUGGCGCGACAGAAUGGUGCUUCCACGAGUCCGUGGACGAGCCGUGGCUGCUCAACGUCCCCACCGCGCCAGUGGCGAACCCCGAAGCUUCGACGCUUUACCCUAAUCCCACGGCCGAGGGGAGCCGCAAGAGGCGGCACGACGUCCAUGAGAUGGUGGGCGCGGUGGAGGUCAUCCCCACGCCGCCUGCGGCGAGCCCGGUGGUGGACCCCGUGGCUUACAACGCGAUGCUGAGACGGAAGUUGGACGCGCAUCUCGCCGCCGUCGCCAUGUUAAGGACCACUCCGGGAAUUUGCCGACAAAGCUCCCAUGACAAUGGAGCAUCGCAAAAUCCAGAUUCCAUCCAAGGCUCAGAAAACCACACCGGAGAUGUCAGUGUGCAUCAGCUUAGCUCUUCCUCAUUGGAGCCAUCACCAUCAGAUGGUGAUAUGGAAGGGGAGGCACAAACAAUUGGAACUAUGCAUAUUAGUGCAGAGAAAGCGAAUAAGAGGAAAGAAUCUAACAGGGAUUCGGCAAGACGCUCAAGGAGUAGAAAAGCAGCUCAUACGAAGGAACUAGAGGAGCAGGUCUCACUAUUAAGAGUCGCAAAUAACUCUUUGAUGAGACAUCUUGCAGAUGUAAGUCAAAGAUACGUUAAUAUCUCUAUUGACAAUAGGGUACUCAAGGCAAAUGUUGAAACCCUAGAAGCAAAGGUAAAGAUGGUCGAGGAAACUAUGAAGAGGGUUACAUGCACCAACAAUUUUCCUCAAGCAAUAUCUAGCUCAUCUCUCGGGAUUCCUUUCAGUGGCUCCCCAUUGGAUGGUAUCUGUGAUAAUCCAUUGCCAACCCAGAACACCUCACUUAGCUACCUCCCCACUACAACAACAAAUUUUGUUGUGAAAAACAACUACAUCCCUGAGCCAGCUCCGGCAUUCCAGAUCCAUGAUCAAAUGUCUUCGCUAAAUAUGCAACCUGUGUCAUGCCUGGAUCAUCACCCACAAAGGAUGCACAUAGGUAUUCCUACAUCGACACCUACUCCGCAACGGGAAUCUACUACAUUGGAUUCAAAUGAAAUAGUCAACAUGAUGAUGUAG
rnacentral:rRNA from 1 species